CACGUAGGGUGCGAGCGUUGUCCGGAAUUAUUGGGCGUAAAGAGCUCGUAGGCGGUUUGUCGCGUCUGCUGUGAAAACCUAAGGCUCAACCUUGGGCUUGCAGUGGGUACGGGCAGACUAGAGUGCGGUAGGGGUGACUGGAAUUCCUGGUGUAGCGGUGAAAUGCGCAGAUAUCAGGAGGAACACCGAUGGCGAAGGCAGGUCUCUGGGCCGAUACUGACGCUGGAGGAGCGAAAGCGUGGGGAGCGAACAGG
rnacentral:rRNA from 1 species